rnacentral:lncRNA from 1 species
UCCCGGGUGAUUGGCAAUGCAUGCCAGUUACCAUUUGUUGGUUAGGUAUUUUUACAAAUUGUAAUAGAAAUGGUAUGAGUUCUCAAGCAGGAGCUGGAGCUACUUUUUGUUCGUCAGUUUAAUUUUUACUAACCUGUAACUUAAGCUGCAACUACUGUGUCAAGUGGCAGCUGGUGAGCCAGAUCAAAAAUGGAUCGAUGAGUGUCAACAUCCUUGGUUCUGAAGCAAUUCGUGAAGCGUCUCCGGCCAGAACAAUCUGCUGCUUACAGAGUAUUGUCUGCCUAGAAGCCAUGUUGCUAGAUAAGUAUAAACACUGGGACUAUCAAGAAGCUGGUGAGUUUCUACCAUCCUUCAUUGUUAGCAUGAUUAGACAUUCAAUAUAUUUAUUCAUAUUCAUAUAUUUUUUAAAUCUAUGCGAAGCUCAUGUUUAGAUACUUGAUGCUGACAUGUGCACCAAAAAUCUAAAAUGAACACAAUUAUUAAUGGAUGAUACUUUGAUCAAUAAUUUCUAUGGCUUCGGUCAUGCACUGAUUUUGCUAUAUUCUGUUCUUCUAAAAACAAUUCAUCACAAAAUUUCAGCUGAGCUCCACUGCAUCUUAUCCUGAAUCUCCGUCGAUUAUUUUUUCAAAGAUUUAUUGCAUUUAUGACUGCCUUGCCGGCCAUCAUCCCACUCCCCAUGGCAUCGAUGGAGUCUUGGGGCAAAGUUUAGGUGAUUAUUUGGCAAUGCAAAAUUAGUACGCUCGUCUAACUUGGCUACCAUUGGUGCAUUACUUUCUUUGACAACAUAUUUGGACUUUGCAUGAAUACAGAAGUGAUGGUUGGAGUAAUAGUUGUGGAGAAAUAGAGUUGCAUUUUAGGAUAAUGGGUAAAAUUGGAGCUAUGAUUAGUUGUGGGUUUAAGAAUUGAGAUCUAGAAAAUGCAUUGUUCAUUUACUUCAUUUAAACUGGCAUGUCACUUGUCACAUCCAUGGAAAUAAUUUGCUGAAGAGACAACAAAGUUUAGUUUCAGGUCGUGUCUUCUUUUGUUUCACGGUUGUUUAAACUUUGUGGCGUCGCUGUUCCUGUCGGCCUUCAUUAGGUUGAUGUACUAUUCUCUUCUUAAUAAUAUAUUUAUACACGUAGCAUGUUCAUGGAAAAAAUGAAAUGAGUUUUUGCUACAUUUGAGCAUUGCAUUUUAAAGUAAAGUUUCAGCCAUUAUUUUCUACCAGAAAUUUAGUGAUCUAUAUGCAAACAAUCUCUCUAUUUUUAGUAAUCUUGUGGGACGUCAGAGAACAGAUGACAUGAUCACAUCCCCAGUAAAUGUGUCAAUCAUACUAAACCAUUGACAAUUUCUAAUUUUGGAUAUUGAAAGAAUGAUAUUUUCUCGAGUAAAAUGAGAAUGCUGAUUAAUCCAUUUUCUAUUUCUGAGCUAUCUUGAUAAUUCUUAGCUAUUUUGAUGUUUCGCUUGAUAGCAAUUAUUACUGUCUAAGAAGACUUAAGUGUGGGAGACUGUGGUUUCAAAUCAGAGAAUUGUGUUUCGAGAUUACUAACAUACUACUCCCUCCGUCCGGAAAUACUUGUCAUCAAAAUUAAUAAAAGAGAAUGUAUCUAGAUGUAUUUUAGUUCUAGAUACAUCGUUUUUUAUCCAUUUUGAUGACAAGUAUUUUUGGACGGAGGGAGUAUUUCAUAUGAUUUUUUUUUCUUCAUUUACAUAUAGGCCAAGAUGUUCUCAAUAUGCCGCAUCUGGAACGUCUAGGAAAAGAUUAACCAUCUGAAGACUCGGUUACCUGGUUUUAUUUUAAAUGAAGUUGUGUGUGUGAGGAGAGCAAUAAAUUCGUGCAUGAACUACCUGUGUUGGUAAGAAUUUAGGUGUUCCUAAAAUUGAUUAGAUGAUUGACCCGAUCUUGUUAGUCAGCUGGUUGUAACUAACAUAGUACACUCUUUUGUUUCCAUCGAAAGAUAAAAUAUGCCAGGAAUGAUGUGUUAUCGAUAAUUUUUGGGUUCACUGAACCACGAGCGAGGUGGGAGGAGAGUCAGGCAUAUUAUUCUGGAGUGGCAUAUUUUUGGGUUCACUGAAGCAGGAGCCCAGUCUGAUCGUAGAUGUUCUUAUCCCCUUAGCAGGAGAGGGUAGGAGAGAGAGAGCAAAUCAUAGCUUCUUAACUAUAUGUGCGUUGCACGUGCAUGUUUACUAGUAUUGGUGUUAAACCUACUGUAUUCCAACUUUUUAUGGAUUAUAAACUAUUUUACUGUGCGUUGCAUGUGCAUGUUUACUAGUAUUGGUGUUAAACCUAAUGUAUUCCAACUUUAUAUGGAUUAUAAACUAUUUUACUAGCCAUAGAUUCAUCAAAAUAAGCAAACAACACAUGCAAAAUAGAA